rnacentral:snoRNA from 1 species
GCAUGGGUUUGGAUUUAUGAUGGGCCAGAUUCCCUGGGCCUCUCAUAGUACCCCAUGCCAGAGCAAACUGUAGCCCCGAACCAUUGCCUGGCCUCUAUGUCCAUAGGCUGCUGGCACUGAAAUGGGUUGCACAGUA